rnacentral:rRNA from 1 species
UGCCAGCCGCCGCGGUAAUACGGAGGGUGCGAGCGUUAUUCGGAAUUAUUGGGCGUAAAGGGCGCGUAGGCGGUUGUAUAAGUCAGAUGUGAAAGUCCAUGGCUCAACCAUGGAAGUGCAUUUGAAACUGGAUGGCUUGAGUACUGGAGGGGGUGGUGGAAUUCCCGGUGUAGAGGUGAAAUUCGUAGAUAUCGGGAGGAAUACCGGUGGCGAAGGCGACCGCCUGGCCAGAUACUGACGCUGAGGUGCGAAAGCGUGGGGAGCAAACAGGAUUAGAUA